rfam:Otolemur garnettii contig002956, whole genome shotgun sequence.
GCCAGACACGGUAGUGUGCGCCCAUAGUCCCAGCUACUCAGGGCUGAGAUAGGAGGAUCGCUUGAGUCCAGGAGUUCUGGGCUGUAGUGCAUUAUACCUAUCAGGUGUCUGCCCUAAGUUUGGCAUCACUAUGGUAACCUCUGGGAGCCGGGGACCACCAGGUUGCCUAAGGAGGGGUGAACUGGCCCAGGUCGGAAAUGGAGCCGGUCAAAACUCCCGUGCUGAUUAGUAGUGGGAUCGCGCCUGUGAAUAGCUACUGCACUCCAGCCUGGGCAACAUAGCAAGACCCUGUCUCUA